rnacentral:rRNA from 1 species
AGCUCCAAUAGCGUAUAUUAAAGUUGUUGCAGUUAAAAAGCUCGUAGUUGGAUUUCGGAAUGGGCCAGUUGGUCCGCCGCAAGGUGAGUUACUGACUGGUUUGUUCUUCUUCGCAAAGACUGCGUGUGCUCUUUACUGAGUGUGCGUAGGAUUUACGACGUUUACUUUGAAAAAAUUAGAGUGUUCAAAGCAGGCUAUCGCUUGAAUACAUGAGCAUGGAAUAAUGGAAUAGGACUUUGGUUCUAUUUUGUUGGUUUCUAGGACCGAAGUAAUGAUUAAGAGGGACAAUUGGGGGCAUCCGUAUUUCGUUGUCAGAGGUGAAAUUCUUGGAUUUACGAAAGACGAACAACUGCGAAAGCACUUGCCAAGAGUGUUUUCA